rnacentral:rRNA from 1 species
AGUGAACGCUGGCGGUAGGCCUAACACAUGCAAGUCGAACGGCAGCACGGUAAGAGCUUGCUCUUACGGGUGGCGAGUGGCGGACGGGUGAGGAAUACAUCGUAAUCUACUUUUUCGUGGGGGAUAACGUAGGGAAACUUACGCUAAUACCGCAUACGACCUACGGGUGAAAGCAGGGGAUCUUCGGACCUUGCGCGAUUGAAUGAGCCGAUGUCGGAUUAGCUAGUUGGCGGGGUAAAGGCCCACCAAGGCGACGAUCCGUAGCUGGUCUGAGAGGAUGAUCAGCCACACUGGAACUGAGACACGGUCCAGACUCCUACGGGAGGCAGCAGUGGGGAAUAUUGGACAAUGGGGGCAAGCCUGAUCCAGCCAUACCGAGUGGGUGAAGAAGGCCUUCGGGUUGUAAAGCCCUUUUGUUGGGAAAGAAAAGCAGCAGGUUAAUACCCCGCUGUUCUGACGGUACCCAAAGAAUAAGCACCGGCUAACUUCGUG